rnacentral:rRNA from 1 species
UACGGAGGGGGCGAGCGUUGUCCGGAAUCAUUGGGCGUAAAGGGCGCGUAGGCGGCCCGGUCAGUUCGUGGUGAAAGCGCGGGGCUCAACCCUGCGUCGGCCAUGAAUACUGCCGCGGCUGGAGCACUGUAGAGGCAGGCGGAAUUCCGGGUGUAGCGGUGGAAUGCGUAGAGAUCCGGAAGAACACCGGUGGCGAAGGCGGCCUGCUGGGCAGUUGCUGACACUGAGGCGCGACAGCGUGGGGAGCAAACAGG